rnacentral:rRNA from 1 species
GAUGAACGCUGGCGGCGUGCUUAACACAUGCAAGUCGAACGAUGAAGCCCAGCUUGCUGGGUGGAUUAGUGGCGAACGGGUGAGUAACACGUGAGUAACCUGCCCUUAACUCUGGGAUAAGCCUGGGAAACUGGGUCUAAUACCGGAUAGGAGCGCCUACCGCAUGGUGGGUGUUGGAAAGAUUUAUCGGUUUUGGAUGGACUCGCGGCCUAUCAGCUUGUUGGUGAGGUAAUGGCUCACCAAGGCGACGACGGGUAGCCGGCCUGAGAGGGUGACCGGCCACACUGGGACUGAGACACGGCCCAGACUCCUACGGGAGGCAGCAGUGGGGAAUAUUGCACAAUGGGCGAAAGCCUGAUGCAGCGACGCCGCGUGAGGGAUGACGGCCUUCGGGUUGUGAACCUCUUUCAGUAGGGAAGAAGCGAAAGUGACGGUACCUGCAGAAGAAGCACCGGCUAACUACGUG